rnacentral:tRNA from 1 species
AGUUAAAAAGCUAAAAGCAAUAUAUCUUGAAAAUAUAAGAAAGAAAAAAUUAUUCUGUUAACUU